CGCACCUCUCCGCCUCCUGCCCCGGCUCUGGCUCUGCGCAGUCAGGAGGACCAGGGACGGGAAAUUGCUGGAGCGUUUGGGAGGCCGGGCGGGCCUCCCUGUUGCCCAGGCCGCAUUUAGAGCCUCCCGAGGAGCGGUCGUGCCUGCUGGGUGACACCAGGAAGGAAGGAGGCCAAGAGACUGGGAGGAGGAGCCCGAAGGAACCGGGUGCCUGCUGAUCAGAGAGCCGCCUGCCCAGGGAGAUGCGGCCGGGUGGUGCGAGGCACUGCCCAAGAGAGAUGGACAGACUGGGUCAGCAUCCUGUCUCCGUGUUACUGGCGGCAAGAGAGGGGCCGUGUCCUCCCCUCUAGGAUGGGGCGAAGAAGCAUUCGAUCUCCGGAGGCUGAGCAGUCACGUGCUCCACUAUAUCCUUACAUGGACGCGUGUGUGCUAAGUCAUGUCCGACUCUUUGUGACCCCGUGGACCGUAGCCCGCCAGGCUCCUCUGUCCAUGGGAUUCUCCAGGCAAGAACAUGGCAGAGGGUUACCAUGCUCUCGUCCAGGGCAUCUUCCUGAUGCAGGGAU